rnacentral:rRNA from 1 species
UUAAGCGACUAAGCGUACACGGUGGAUGCCCUGGCAGUCAGAGGCGAUGAAGGGCGUGCUAAUCUGCGAUAAGCGCCGGUAAGGUGAUAUGAACCGUUAUAACCGGCGAUACCCGAAUGGGGAAACCCAGUGUGACUCGUCACACUAUCAUUAACUGAAUCCAUAGGUUAAUGAGGCGAACCGGGGGAACUGAAACAUCUAAGUACCCCGAGGAAAAGAAAUCAACCGAGAUUCCCCCAGUAGCGGCGAGCGAACGGGGAGGAGCCCAGAGCCUGAAUCAGCAUGUGUGUUAGUGGAAGCGUCUGGAAAGGCGCGCGAUACAGGGUGACAGCCCCGUACACAAAAGCGCAUGUGCUGUGAGCUCGAUGAGUAGGGCGGGACACGUGGUAUCCUGUCUGAAUAUGGGGGGACCAUCCUCCAAGGCUAAAUACUCCUGACUGACCGAUAGUGAACCAGUACCGUGAGGGAAAGGCGAAAAGAACCCCGGCGAGGGGAGUGAAAAAGAACCUGAAACCGUGUACGUACAAGCAGUGGGAGCACAGGUUUACCUGUGUGACUGCGUACCUUUUGUAUAAUGGGUCAGCGACUUAUAUUCUGUAGCAAGGUUAACCGAAUAGGGGAGCCGGAGGGAAACCGAGUCUUAAUUGGGCGUUAAGUUGCAGGGUAUAGACCCGAAACCCGGUGAUCUAGCCAUGGGCAGGUUGAAGGUUGGGUAACACUAACUGGAGGACCGAACCGACUAAUGUUGAAAAAUUAGCGGAUGACCUGUGGCUGGGGGUGAAAGGCCAAUCAAACCGGGAGAUAGCUGGUUCUCCCCGAAAGCUAUUUAGGUAGCGCCUCGUGAAUUCAUCUCCGGGGGUAGAGCACUGUUUCGGCUAGGGGGCCAUCCCGGCUUACCAACCCGAUGCAAACUGCGAAUACCGGAGAAUGUUAUCACGGGAGACACACGGCGGGUGCUAACGUCCGUCGUGAAGAGGGAAACAACCCAGACCGCCAGCUAAGGUCCCAAAGUCAUGGUUAAGUGGGAAACGAUGUGGGAAGGCCCAGACAGCCAGGAUGUUGGCUUAGAAGCAGCCAUCAUUUAAAGAAAGCGUAAUAGCUCACUGGUCGAGUCGGCCUGCGCGGAAGAUGUAACGGGGCUAAACCAUGCACCGAAGCUGCGGCAGCGANNGUUGGGUAGGGGAGCGUUCUGUAAGCCUGCGAAGGUGGCCUGUGAGGGUUGCUGGAGGUAUCAGAAGUGCGAAUGCUGACAUAAGUAACGAUAAAGCGGGUGAAAAGCCCGCUCGCCGGAAGACCAAGGGUUCCUGUCCAACGUUAAUCGGGGCAGGGUGAGUCGACCCCUAAGGCGAGGCCGAAAGGCGUAGUCGAUGGGAAACGGGUUAAUAUUCCCGUACUUGGUGUUACUGCGAAGGGGGGACGGAGAAGGCUAUGUUGGCCGGGCGACGGUUGUCCCGGUUUAAGCGUGUAGGUGUGUGUUCCAGGUAAAUCCGGUUCACUUUAACACUGAGGCGUGAUGACGAGGCACUACGGUGCUGAAGCAACAAAUGCCCUGCUUCCAGGAAAAGCCUCUAAGCAUCAGGUAACAUCAAAUCGUACCCCAAACCGACACAGGUGGUCAGGUAGAGAAUACCAAGGCGCUUGAGAGAACUCGGGUGAAGGAACUAGGCAAAAUGGUGCCGUAACUUCGGGAGAAGGCACGCUGACACGUAGGUGAAGUGAUUUACUCAUGGAGCUGAAGUCAGUCGAAGAUACCAGCUGGCUGCAACUGUUUAUUAAAAACACAGCACUGUGCAAACACGAAAGUGGACGUAUACGGUGUGACGCCUGCCCGGUGCCGGAAGGUUAAUUGAUGGGGUCAGCGCAAGCGAAGCUCCUGAUCGAAGCCCCGGUAAACGGCGGCCGUAACUAUAACGGUCCUAAGGUAGCGAAAUUCCUUGUCGGGUAAGUUCCGACCUGCACGAAUGGCGUAAUGAUGGCCAGGCUGUCUCCACCCGAGACUCAGUGAAAUUGAACUCGCUGUGAAGAUGCAGUGUACCCGCGGCAAGACGGAAAGACCCCGUGAACCUUUACUAUAGCUUGACACUGAACAUUGAGCCUUGAUGUGUAGGAUAGGUGGGAGGCUUUGAAGCGUGGACGCCAGUCUGCGUGGAGCCGACCUUGAAAUACCACCCUUUAAUGUUUGAUGUUCUAACGUGGACCCGUAAUCCGGGUUGCGGACAGUGUCUGGUGGGUAGUUUGACUGGGGCGGUCUCCUCCUAAAGAGUAACGGAGGAGCACGAAGGUUGGCUAAUCCUGGUCGGACAUCAGGAGGUUAGUGCAAUGGCAUAAGCCAGCUUGACUGCGAGCGUGACGGCGCGAGCAGGUGCGAAAGCAGGUCAUAGUGAUCCGGUGGUUCUGAAUGGAAGGGCCAUCGCUCAACGGAUAAAAGGUACUCCGGGGAUAACAGGCUGAUACCGCCCAAGAGUUCAUAUCGACGGCGGUGUUUGGCACCUCGAUGUCGGCUCAUCACAUCCUGGGGCUGAAGUAGGUCCCAAGGGUAUGGCUGUUCGCCAUUUAAAGUGGUACGCGAGCUGGGUUUAGAACGUCGUGAGACAGUUCGGUCCCUAUCUGCCGUGGGCGCUGGAGAACUGAGGGGGGCUGCUCCUAGUACGAGAGGACCGGAGUGGACGCAUCACUGGUGUUCGGGUUGUCAUGCCAAUGGCACUGCCCGGUAGCUAAAUGCGGAAGAGAUAAGUGCUGAAAGCAUCUAAGCACGAAACUUGCCCCGAGAUGAGUUCUCCCUGAGACUU